rnacentral:rRNA from 1 species
UACGGGGGGGGCAAGCGUUGUUCGGAAUUACUGGGCGUAAAGGGCGCGUAGGCGGCCGCCUAAGUCAGACGUGAAAUCCCUCGGCCCAACCGGGGAACUGCGUCUGAUACUGGGUGGCUUGAAUCCGGGAGAGGGAUGCGGAAUUCCAGGUGUAGCGGUGAAAUGCGUAGAUAUCUGGAGGAACACCGGUGGCGAAGGCGGCAUCCUGGACCGGCAUUGACGCUGAGGCGCGAAAGCCAGGGGAGCAAACGGG